AUUGAACGCUGGCGGCAGGCCUAACACAUGCAAGUCGAACGGUAACAGGAAGAAGCUUGCUUCUUUGCUGACGAGUGGCGGACGGGUGAGUAAUGUCUGGGAAACUGCCUGAUGGAGGGGGAUAACUACUGGAAACGGUAGCUAAUACCGCAUAACGUCGCAAGACCAAAGAGGGGGACCUUCGGGCCUCUUGCCAUCGGAUGUGCCCAGAUGGGAUUAGCUAGUAGGUGGGGUAACGGCUCACCUAGGCGACGAUCCCUAGCUGGUCUGAGAGGAUGACCAGCCACACUGGAACUGAGACACGGUCCAGACUCCUACGGGAGGCAGCAGUGGGGAAUAUUGCACAAUGGGCGCAAGCCUGAUGCAGCCAUGCCGCGUGUAUGAAGAAGGCCUUCGGGUUGUAAAGUACUUUCAGCGGGGAGGAAGGGAGUAAAGUUAAUACCUUUGCUCAUUGACGUUACCCGCAGAAGAAACACCGGCUAACUCCGU
rnacentral:rRNA from 1 species